rnacentral:rRNA from 1 species
UACGUAGGGGGCAAGCGUUGUCCGGAAUCAUUGGGCGUAAAGCGCGUGUAGGCGGUCCGGUAAGUCCGCUGUGAAAGUCGGGGGCUCAACCCUCGGAUGCCGGUGGAUACUGUCGGGCUUGAGUACGGAAGAGGCGAGUGGAAUUCCCGGUGUAGCGGUGAAAUGCGCAGAUAUCGGGAGGAACACCAGUAGCGAAGGCGGCACUCUGGGCCGGAACUGACGCUGAGGAGCGAAAGCGUGGGGAGCGAACAGG